UACGUAGGGUGCGAGCGUUGUCCGGGAUUAUUGGGCGUAAAGAGCUCGUAGGCGGUCUGUCGCGUCGGAUGUGAAAAUCCAGGGCUCAACCCUGGACCUGCAUUCGAUACGGGCAGACUAGAGUUCGGUAGGGGAGACUGGAAUUCCUGGUGUAGCGGUGAAAUGCGCAGAUAUCAGGAGGAACACCGGUGGCGAAGGCGGGUCUCUGGGCCGAAACUGACGCUGAGGAGCGAAAGCGUGGGGAGCAAACAGG
rnacentral:rRNA from 1 species